CUGAGAUUCAACCAUGCCUUUGGCUAGACUUCCUGGUUGGCUGUAUGUUGUAGCCUGUGGGCUCCUGCUUCUCCUCCAGCAUGUGCACGGCCAGGACUCAGCCAGCCCCAUCAGGAACACACACACACACGGGUCAGGUGAGAGGCAGCUUUGUCCAUGUGAAGGACACUAAAUCUGGUAUCCACACCUUCCUGGGAAUUCCCUUUGCCAAGCCUCCUGUAGGACCGCUGCGCUUUGCACCUCCUGAGGACCCUGAGCCAUGGAGUGGUGUGAGAGAUGCGACCUCACAGCCGGCCAUGUGUCUGCAGACUGAUAUAAUGAAUUUAGAUGGUAUCAAGGAAAUGAAGCUGACCGUGCAUCCCACCCCUAUGUCUGAAGACUGCCUGUAUCUCAACAUCUAUACACCAGCUCAUGCCCGUGAGGGCUCUAACCUGCCUGUGAUGGUAUGGAUCCACGGUGGUGGGCUGGUUCUAGGAUCAGCUUCCAUGAAUGAUGCAUCCACACUGGCAGCUACUGAGGAAAUAGUAAUUGUCUCCAUCCAGUAUCGUUUGGGUGUCCUUGGCUUCUUCAGCACUGGAGACCAGAAUGCCAGAGGCAACUGGGGAUACCUGGACCAAGUGGCUGCCCUACGCUGGGUCCAGCAAAAUAUUGCUUACUUUGGAGGCAACCAUGGCAAGGUCACUAUAUUUGGUGGCUCAGCAGGAGGCACAAGUGUGUCUUCCCAUGUUGUGUCCCCCAUGUCCAAAGGACUCUUUCAUGGAGCUAUUAUGCAGAGUGGAGUGGCCCUGCUGCCUGACCUCAUCUCUGAUAAAUCUGAGGUGGUCUACAAGACAGUAGCCAACCUAUCUGGAUGUGAGGCCCCAGACUCAGAAGCCCUGAUACGCUGCCUGCGAGCAAAGAGUAAACAAGAGAUCCUGGCUAUUAACCAGGUCUUCAAGAUGAUUCCUGGUGUGGUGGAUGGAAAGUUCCUACCCAAACAUCCUCAGGAGCUGUUGGCCUCUGGUGAUUUUCACCCUGUCCCAAGCAUCAUUGGUAUCAACACAGAUGAAUGUGGCUGGGGAAUCCCUGUGUUCCUGGGCCUUGACCAUAUAAUAAAGAAAAUAACCAGAGAGACCCUGCCCACUGUUCUAAAGAGCACAGCAGCACAGAUGAUGCUGCCUCCUGAGUGUAUUGACCUGAUAAUGGAAGAGUACAUGGGGGACACUGAGAACCCAGAGACCCUCCAAGAACAGUUCAGACACAUGCUGGGGGACUUCAUGUUUGUGAUCCCUGCCCUGCAAGUAGCACAUUUCCAACGUUCCCAGGCUCCUGUCUACUUUUAUGAGUUCCAGCAUCUGCCCAGCUUCAUCAAGCAAGUCAGACCAUCCCAUGUUAAGGCAGACCAUGGUGAUGACAUUCUCUUUGUCUUUGGCUCCUACUUGUGGGGCAUGACCUUUGACCUCACUGAGGAGGAGGAGCUGCUGAAGAGGAGGGUGAUGAAGUACUGGGCCAACUUUGCAAGAACUGGGAACCCCAAUGGUGAAGAUCUACCCCACUGGCCUGUGUUGGACCAUGAUGAGCAGUAUUUGCAGUUGAACACCCAGCCUGCUGUGGGCCGAGCCCUAAAGGCCAGAAGGCUGCAGUUCUGGACCAAGACUCUGCCCCAGAAGAUCCAGGAGCUAAAGGGUUCUCAGAGCAAGCAUGCAGAGCUGUAGCAUCCUGGGCCAGGAGUGUGAGGUUGAAAGCAAAUGGGGUAAUUCUGAGGUUACAAAGUACAUUAUCUACAUUUAUUCAUUCCAAUAAGUACAUAAGCAUUUCUCACCUCAGCAUUUGGUCUUUCAGACAUGUAUGAAAAACACUCUGUGUUAUCAUUCUGGGCAA